UGAGGGAAAGGCGAAAAGAACCCCGGCGAGGGGAGUGAAAAAGAACCUGAAACCGUGUACGUACAAGCAGUGGGAGCACAGGUUUACCUGUGUGACUGCGUACCUUUUGUAUAAUGGGUCAGCGACUUAUAUUCUGUAGCAAGGUUAACCGAAUAGGGGAGCCGGAGGGAAACCGAGUCUUAAUUGGGCGUUAAGUUGCAGGGUAUAGACCCGAAACCCGGUGAUCUAGCCAUGGGCAGGUUGAAGGUUGGGUAACACUAACUGGAGGACCGAACCGACUAAUGUUGAAAAAUUAGCGGAUGACCUGUGGCUGGGGGUGAAAGGCCAAUCAAACCGGGAGAUAGCUGGUUCUCCCCGAAAGCUAUUUAGGUAGCGCCUCGUGAAUUCAUCUCCGGGGGUAGAGCACUGUUUCGGCUAGGGGGCCAUCCCGGCUUACCAACCCGAUGCAAACUGCGAAUACCGGAGAAUGUUAUCACGGGAGACACACGGCGGGUGCUAACGUCCGUCGUGAAGAGGGAAACAACCCAGACCGCCAGCUAAGGUCCCAAAGUCAUGGUUAAGUGGGAAACGAUGUGGGAAGGCCCAGACAGCCAGGAUGUUGGCUUAGAAGCAGCCAUCAUUUAAAGAAAGCGUAAUAGCUCACUGGUCGAGUCGGCCUGCGCGGAAGAUGUAACGGGGCUAAACCAUGCACCGAAGCUGCGGCAGCGACGCUGAUGCGUUGUUGGGUAGGGGAGCGUUCUGUAAGCCUGUGAAGGUGUGUCGUGAGGCAUGCUGGAGGUAUCAGAAGUGCGAAUGCUGACAUAAGUAACGAUAAAGCGGGUGAAAAGCCCGCUCGCCGGAAGACCA
rnacentral:rRNA from 1 species